AUGUGCCUACGGGAGGCAGCAGUGAGGAAUAUUGGUCAAUGGGCGCGAGCCUGAACCCGCCAAGUCGCGUGAGGGAUGACGGCCCUACGGGUUGUAAACCUCUUUUGUCGAGGAGCAAAUUCCGUUACGUGUAACGGAGUCGAGAGUACCCGAAGAAAAAGCAUCGGCUAACUCCGUGCCAGCAGCCGCGGUAAUACGGAGGAUGCGAGCGUUAUCCGGAUUUAUUGGGUUUAAAGGGUGCGUAGGCGGAUUGUCAAGUCAGCGGUAAAAUACGGGGGCUCAACCUCCGCCCGCCGUUGAAACUG
rnacentral:rRNA from 1 species